rnacentral:rRNA from 1 species
UACAGAGGGUGCGAGCAUUGUUCGGAAUUAUUGGGCGUAAAGGGCGCGUAGGCGGUGCGGUAAGUCACCUGUGAAAUCUCCUGGCUCAACUGGGAGCUUGCAGGCGAAACUGCCGUGCUGGAGUGUGGGAGAGGCGCGUGGAAUUCCUGGUGUAGCGGUGAAGUGCGUAGAUAUCAGGAGGAACACCUGUGGCGAAAGCGGCGCACUGGACCACAACUGACGCUGAGGCGCGAAAGCUAGGGGAGCAAACAGG